rnacentral:rRNA from 1 species
ACGGCUCAGUAACACGUGGAUAAUCUGCCCUUAGGUGGAGGAUAACCUCGGGAAACUGAGAAUAAUACUCCAUAGGUUUAGGAUGCUGGAAUGCUCCUAAACUCAAAGAUUUAUCGCCUAAGGAUGAGUCUGCGGACUAUCAGGUAGUAGUCAGGGUAAAGACCUGACUAGCCUACAACGGAUACGGGUUGUGAGAGCAAUAACCCGGAGAUGAUAUCUGAGACACGAUAUCGGGCCCUACGGGGCGCAGCAGGCGCGAAACCUUCACACUGUGCGAAAGCGCGAUGAGGGAAUCCCAAGUGCUUGCUCUUAGGAGUAAGCUGUUUUUCUGUUUAAAUCGCAGGAAGAGGAAGGGCUGGGUAAGACGGGUGCCAGCCGCCGCGGUAAUACCUGCAGCUCAAGUGGUGGCCGCUAUUAUUGGGCCUAAAGCGUCCGUAGCCGGCUAAGUAAAUGCCUGGGUAAAUCGUGUCGCUUAACGAUACGAAUUCCGGGUAGACUGCUUAGCUUGAGACCGGGAGAAGCUAGAGGUACUCCUUGGGUAGAGGUGAAAUUCUGUAAUCCUGGGGGGACCACCAGUGGCGAAGGCGUCUAGCUAGAACGGGUCUGACGGUGAGGGACGAAACCCUGGGGCGCGAACCGGAUUAGAUACCCGGGUAGUCCAGGGCGCAAACGCUGCUUGCUUGAUGUUAGCUGGGCUCCGAGCUCAGCUAGUGUCGGGAAGGAAAAAGUUGUUAAGCAAGCUGCCCUGGGAAAGUACGAUCGCAAGAUUGAAACUUUAAAGGAAUUUGGGCGGGGGGAGCACAAGGG